GGAAAAGGAACAUUGAUUGAAGGCUUCCUGGGCAUCAGGUAGUGUCCUGGGUUUUCUUACCAUCUUAUUUCUUUUAAUCCUCCCAGCAGAGUGGGUGGUUAGUAUCUUUAUCCUCAUUUUACAGUUGAGGAAGUUGAAGGCUGCGGGAACUGUAGGAUGCUUGCUAGUUUUCUCCAUCGCCCGAAGUCACUUUGCAGGCAGAUGGAGGCACUGAAGCUAGGAGCCAAUUUAGGAGGGGACAGUGGAGGGGCCAUUCAGACCACGGUGGCUGGUGGUCCCUCGGCCAGUAGCUGGAGUUAAAGGAGUCUUCCAUGGGAUCCUGCGUGGGUGCUCACUGGGUCCCGAAGUAGGGCUUGGGUACAGGUCCAUGGUCCAUCUGCUUGGAGAUGCAAUUUCUUCUUUGUAAAUGAGAGCAGUGAUACACACCUUGUGGGUUUGUUACUAAGAGUAAAUGGAGCAAAACACCAAGCAAGUUCUUAGCACUUAGUAGCUGCUCAAUAAAUAAUGGUUAUUAUGAUUCGUGUAACUGUUAUUUUUGCUUUGUCUGUUAUUAUCCUCUGGCACAUUCUGCCUUUGGGGAUUUCCGGGGAGGCCCUGGGUUCAGGAGCUCUUGUGUCACAGACUAGCUCUGACUCCUUCUGAUACCUGGCACAUCUACCUUCUCAUGGAUUAUGUGUUUUUUUGGUGUUUGGGCAGUGUAAUUACUCACAAUUUUUAUUUUCACAAGUUUUCUGACAUAGAUUAAUUUCAUAAUCAGAAAAAAAGGUUAUCACAACAUAUUGCUUAACAAAAACAAUUAUAAAAGAGUAAUAUAGAACAUUUGCUGUUUAAAAAUAUAUAUGUACAUAAAGAU
rnacentral:lncRNA from 1 species